ACUAACAGGAUUCCCCUAGUAACUGCGAGUGAAGCGGGAAAAGCUCAAAUUUAAAAUCUGGCAGUCUCUGGCUGUCCGAGUUGUAAUCUAGAGAAGUAAUGCCCGUGCUGGACCGUGUAUAAGUCUCCUGGGAUGGGGCGUCAUAGAGGGUGAGAAUCCCGUCUUUGACACGGACUACCAGUGCAUUGUGGUAUGCUCUCAAAGAGUCGAGUUGUUUGGGAAUGCAGCUCAAAAUGGGUGGUAAAUUCCAUCUAAAGCUAAAUAUUGGCGAGAGACCGAUAGCGAACAAGUACCGUGAGGGAAAGAUGAAAAGAACUUUGGAAAGAGAGUUAAACAGUACGUGAAAUUGCUGAAAGGGAAACGCUUGAAGUCAGUCGCGUUGGCCAGGAUUCAGCUUUGCUUUUGCAUGGUGUACUUUCUGGUUGACGGGUCAGCAUCAAUUUUGACCGCUGGAAAAAGACCUGGGGAAUGUGGCAGCUUCGGCUGUGUUAUAGCCCCUAGUCACAUACAGUGGUUGGGAUUGAGGAACUCAGCACGCCGCAAGGCCGGGUUUCGACCACGUUCGUGCUUAGGAUGCUGGCAUAAUGGCUUUAAGCGACCCGUCUUGAAACACGGACCAAGGAGUCUAACAUGCCUGCGAGUAUUUGGGUGGAAAACUCAAGUGCGUAAUGAAAGUGAAAGUUGAGAUCCCUGUCGUAGGGAGCAUCGACGCCCGGACCAGAACUUUUGGGACGGAUCCGCGGUGGAGCAUGUAUGUUGGGACCCGAAAGAUGGUGAACUAUGCCUGAAUAGGGUGAAGCCAGAGGAAACUCUGGUGGAGGCUCGUAGCGAUUCUGACGUGCAAAUCGAUCGUCAAAUUUGGGUAUAGG
rnacentral:rRNA from 1 species